ACCGAGAGACGCCACCGCCGCGCACCACGCGCAGUCCCAUUUCGCUCGUCCCGCUCCGCACCGUUGAGCUGCCGUCGAUGAACAAUGGGCCGAGACCUGCGCGCGCCCCGCUAGACACCCUGCCCCCGUCCCCUCGUGCGCGCCGCCGCACACAUGAUGAGACUCUUUUUUUUUUCGCUGCCGCUGAGCGCCCCGUGCGUGGGGCGGCACGUGAUGCACACAUGAAUACACUACACUGUAGAACUGUCGUUUCUCUGACGGCGCUGCGGCCCCCUGUCCCCUGUCUCCUUCCCCCACCCCCGCGCGCGCCGCGUCAUCGAGGUCUUCGUGUACCCCGUGCGCCCCCACUCGUGGCACACACAUGGGGAAUGGUCAAGACCGAGAGACGCCACCGCCGCGCACCACGCGCAGUCCCAUUUCGCUCGUCCCGCUCCGCACCGUUGAGCUGCCGUCGAUGAACAAUGGGCCGAGACCUGCGCGCGCCCCGCUAGACACCCUGCCCCCGUCCCCUCGUGCGCGCCGCCGCACACAUGAUGAGACUCUUUUUUUUUUCGCUGCCGCUGAGCGCCCCGUGCGUGGGGCGGCACGUGAUGCACACAUGGAUACACUACACUGUAGAACUGUCGUUUCUCUGACGGCGCUGCGGCCCCCUGUCCCCUGUCUCCUUCCCCCACCCCCGCGCGCGCCGCGUCAUCGAGGUCUUCGUGUACCCCGUGCGCCCCCACUCGUGGCACACACAUGGGGAAUGGUCAAGACCGAGAGACGCCACCGCCGCGCACCACGCGCAGUCCCAUUUCGCUCGUCCCGCUCCGCACCGUUGAGCUGCCGUCGAUGAACAAUGGGCCGAGACCUGCGCGCGCCCCGCUAGACACCCUGCCCCCGUCCCCUCGUGCGCGCCGCCGCACACAUGAUGAGACUCUUUUUUUUUUCGCUGCCGCUGAGCGCCCCGUGCGUGGGGCGGCACGUGAUGCACACAUGAAUACACUACACUGUAGAACUGUCGUUUCUCUGACGGCGCUGCGGCCCCCUGUCCCCUGUCUCCUUCCCCCACCCCCGCGCGCGCCGCGUCAUCGAGGUCUUCGUGUACCCCGUGCGCCCCCACUCGUGGCACACACAUGGGGAAUGGUCAAGACCGAGAGACGCCACCGCCGCGCACCACGCGCAGUCCCAUUUCGCUCGUCCCGCUCCGCACCGUUGAGCUGCCGUCGAUGAACAAUGGGCCGAGACCUGCGCGCGCCCCGCUAGACACCCUGCCCCCGUCCCCUCGUGCGCGCCGCCGCACACAUGAUGAGACUCUUUUUUUUUCGCUGCCGCUGAGCGCCCCGUGCGUGGGGCGGCACGUGAUGCACACAUGGAUACACUACACUGUAGAACUGUCGUUUCUCUGACGGCGCUGCGGCCCCCUGUCCCCUGUCUCCUUCCCCCACCCCCGCGCGCGCCGCGUCAUCGAGGUCUUCGUGUACCCCGUGCGCCCCCACUCGUGGCACACACAUGGGGAAUGGUCAAGACCGAGAGACGCCACCGCCGCGCACCACGCGCAGUCCCAUUUCGCUCGUCCCGCUCCGCACCGUUGAGCUGCCGUCGAUGAACAAUGGGCCGAGACCUGCGCGCGCCCCGCUAGACACCCUGCCCCCGUCCCCUCGUGCGCGCCGCCGCACACAUGAUGAGACUCUUUUUUUUUUCGCUGCCGCUGAGCGCCCCGUGCGUGGGGCGGCACGUGAUGCACACAUGGAUACACUACACUGUAGAACUGUCGUUUCUCUGACGGCGCUGCGGCCCCCUGUCCCCUGUCUCCUUCCCCCACCCCCGCGCGCGCCGCGUCAUCGAGGUCUUCGUGUACCCCGUGCGCCCCCACUCGUGGCACACACAUGGGGAAUGGUCAAGACCGAGAGACGCCACCGCCGCGCACCACGCGCAGUCCCAUUUCGCUCGUCCCGCUCCGCACCGUUGAGCUGCCGUCGAUGAACAAUGGGCCGAGACCUGCGCGCGCCCCGCUAGACACCCUGCCCCCGUCCCCUCGUGCGCGCCGCCGCACACAUGAUGAGACUCUUUUUUUUUUCGCUGCCGCUGAGCGCCCCGUGCGUGGGGCGGCACGUGAUGCACACAUGAAUACACUACACUGUAGAACUGUCGUUUCUCUGACGGCGCUGCGGCCCCCUGUCCCCUGUCUCCUUCCCCCACCCCCGCGCGCGCCGCGUCAUCGAGGUCUUCGUGUACCCCGUGCGCCCCCACUCGUGGCACACACAUGGGGAAUGGUCAAG
rnacentral:misc_RNA from 1 species